GAUGGAGAACGUAGUGAAAUGCGAUAAGUAAUGUGAAUUGCAGAAUUCAGUGAAUCAUCGAAUCUUUGAACGCACAUUGCGCCCGCUAGUAUUCUGGCGGGCAAGCCUGUCCGAGCGUCAUUUCAACCCUCAAGCCCCCGGGCUUGGUGUUGGGGAUCGGCGAGCCUCCGCGCCCGCCGUCCCCUAAAUCUAGUGGCGGUCUCGCUGUAGCUUCCUCUGCGUAGUAGCACACCUCGCACUGGGAAACAGCGCGGCCACGCCGUUAAACCCCCAACUUCUGAACGUUUGACCUCGGAUCAGGUAGGAAUACCCGCUGAACUUAAGCAUAUCAAUAAGCGGAGGA
rnacentral:misc_RNA from 1 species